CUAAAGAGGAAGCUGUCAAGACAUGAUUAUGGCGCGGGGAAUUUAUAUUGAGGUCUAUAUGGUGCCACGAUAUGGAGACAAUAAGCUAUGCCUGGACCGUCGCUUGAUUGUUCACACAAAGUACAAUUCUUUUUCAAUUCGUCCAUAGCUAUAGGUACAGAAAGCGACUUUGAACUCUGAUCAAUUUAUUCUUUUUACUCUUGAAUCCCAUGUAUGUUUUUAGUGUUUUACAAUGGAUGAUUGAUGAAAAGCUGCAACUAAUGCUUUUUCCGGGUCGUACAAGGAGGGUGGAAUAUAUAAAGGUUUAUUUGCCUGAA